GACGAACGCUGGCGGCGUGCCUAAUACAUGCAAGUCGAACGAGAGCGACCGGUGCUUGCACUGGUCAAUCUAGUGGCGAACGGGUGAGUAACACGUGGGUAACCUGCCCAUCAGAGGGGGAUAACAUCCGGAAACGGAUGCUAAAACCGCAUAGGUCUUCGAGCCGCAUGGCUUGAAGAGGAAAAGAGGCGCAAGCUUCUGCUGAUGGAUGGACCCGCGGUGCAUUAGCUAGUUGGUGAGGUAACGGCUCACCAAGGCCGUGAUGCAUAGCCGACCUGAGAGGGUGAUCAGCCACAUUGGGACUGAGACACGGCCCAAACUCCUACGGGAGGCAGCAGUAGGGAAUCUUCCGCAAUGGACGCAAGUCUGACGGAGCAACGCCGCGUGAGUGAAGAAGGUUUUCGGAUCGUAAAACUCUGUUGUUAGAGAAGAACAAGUGCUAGAGUAACUGUUAGCGCCUUGACGGUAUCUAACCAGAAAGCCACGGCUAACUACGUG
rnacentral:rRNA from 1 species